UGAGUCGAGCGAAUGGAUUAAGAGCUUGCUCUUAUGAAGUUAGCGGCGGACGGGUGAGUAACACGUGGGUAACCUGCCCAUAAGACUGGGAUAACUCCGGGAAACCGGGGCUAAUACCGGAUAACAUUUUGAACCGCAUGGUUCGAAAUUGAAAGGCGGCUUCGGCUGUCACUUAUGGAUGGACCCGCGUCGCAUUAGCUAGUUGGUGAGGUAACGGCUCACCAAGGCAACGAUGCGUAGCCGACCUGAGAGGGUGAUCGGCCACACUGGGACUGAGACACGGCCCAGACUCCUACGGGAGGCAGCAGUAGGGAAUCUUCCGCAAUGGACGAAAGUCUGACGGAGCAACGCCGCGUGAGUGAUGAAGGCUUUCGGGUCGUAAAACUCUGUUGUUAGGGAAGAACAAGUGCUAGUUGAAUAAGCUGGCACCUUGACGGUACCUAACCAGAAAGCCACGGCUAACUACGUGCCAGCAGCCGCGGUAAUACGUAGGUGGCAAGCGUUAUCCGGAAUUAUUGGGCGUAAAGCGCGCGCAGGUGGUUUCUUAAGUCUGAUGUGAAAGCCCACGGCUCAACCGUGGAGGGUCAUUGGAAACUGGGGAGACUUGAGUGCAGAAGAGGAAAGUGGAAUUCCAUGUGUACGUGAAAUGCUAAGAUAUGGAGGAACACCAGUGGCGA
rnacentral:rRNA from 2 species